UCCCUCUAUCAAAGAUGAUGACGAUGAUGAUGAUGACGACGAAGAGAAGGAAUCUGAUGAUGGAUCAUCCUCUGAUGACAGUGAUGAUGACGACGAUGACGAAGAUGAUAAUGAAGAUGAAGAGGAUGAAGAAGUUGAGGAUAAAGAGAAUAAGUCAGAAAGCAGCAGCAGCAGCGCUUCCAGCUCUGACGAUUCCUCGGGUUCAGACUCCGAUUGAGCCGGAGCCGAGUCAGGCUGAACCCACAGACUGCCAGAAAUGCUGUGAACUGAGCCAUGAGCCGGGGGUCUGAGCCUGCUCUGCACUGCGCUCUUCAACCACAGGAGGGGGCUCACCCCGCUGUCACACAUCUGCGCCACCUCUCACACACUCUUUCCUUUGCUUCUCUUCUCUUCUGUUCUCCCCUGCACUUCUGCUUUAAUUUUUUUCCUCCCUCCCUCGAUGAAUCCGCUUGGCAGGUUUUAAGGCAUUUUAGGCAACGUGUAUGAGGAUGUAUAGUCUAAAUUCCUCCCAACACCAAAAAGGGUGCAGUGCUCCACUAUUGGCUUGUAGUAGUCAUGAGGCGUUAUUAGGACCUCCUGUGUUUAUACGUUAAAUGUAGGAGGACACAGAGAGCACCAUGUUCCAUUUUCUUUUCCGUAAAUGAGCCAAAGAGUCUCUUAGUUUCACAGAUUAUUUCGGGAGUUACAGGGGACCAAAUAACUGCACUCUGAAGAAUGUUUGCUUUCUUUUCUUCUGUCUGUGCCUCUCCUGUUCUUUCUAGUAGCGUUGUUCCUCUCCCUUUCCUGCUCCCUCCAUUUUUGCUCUGGUGUUUGUUUUUGCUUCUUCAGUUCAAAACAAAUGUGGUAUUUUCAGGAACAAUGAAGCCAUUUUGAAUGUGGCCGCAUGGACCCCGCUGGUCUCGCACGCGGUUGUUGUUCUCCAGGCAUUUGUGCGCUGCCCUUACCUGCACCUGACGAGGGGUUAAAGGUGAAAAUGGACUAUUUAUUUUUGUCCUGUUGUAGGAAUGCUGCCUGUAGCUGUUUCGCCACAGCAGAUGGGUUUAAGUUCGCUGUGCAUUCAGAUAAUAAAACGACUGAUGUUACAUGAGGACUAGUUUAUCAGUUAAUUGUUUGGCAGCACAAGCAAAGUUCUUGCAGAAGUAUGCUCGUUUUGUUUUGUUUUUUGUGGAUGGGGCACCAACAUGUUUUUCUUCUGUUUGUUAAUAAUAGUUAUGUAUUUUUUGAAGCUGGCUUUUUUUUCCUCUUUCCAACCACUGUUUUAUUUGGUGCUCCAAAGAACUGUUUUUCUUUUGAAAAUGAUGUUUUAAAUAUGAUGGAUAUGAGUUACCCCACAAUUCAGUGCACUUAUGAUGGAAUCGCUAGCUCACAAACCUAGUGUUUUUUCAGUAUUCCUCUUUCUGCGUUUCACUUAUUAGCCCAUAAUGUCUACCACUUCACAGGUCUUUCACGCACCAGCUCAAGGAAUGUAAUGGAGAUGUUUUAUUUAAGAGAGGGGUAUCGUUAUUAGUUAUGCGUUUAUGUAUAUAUGAACCGUUUUGAGGGUGACUGGUAUAUUCUCUCAUUCCAAUGCCCUGGCCUAAAUUUAGUUAAACCCACAACACAGCUUCCUCCGCAGAGCUACCAACUUUUACUCCAUUUUUUUAAUGCAGUCCUCAACUUAAUAGGGGCGCUGUAAGUGAUUUUUCCCUCUAUCAAAACCUUGAUCAUUUGCAUGUAAAGACAAGGGGGGGGGGGAUUGCUGUCAAAACAGCUCUGGAUGCUGUAAUUUCUGUACCAGACAUGUGACCUUUAUUCUAGGCAUCCAAAGUAAUCAAGGUCUGUAUCAUGCAACAAUUUGUGUUCUUGGCUCAGUCUGAAAAAUUAAAUUUGGUUAUAGAUGUUUUGAAUGAUGGGCCGGGUAAGAAACCCAGUGGACCUUUCAAGAUUUGUUGAUAUUUUAUAGGAUUUUGAGACUUGCAAAUAGAUUUGGGUUGGGUUCAGUGCUGUUGUAAGGUAUCUGUACAUAUAGCUUUCUUUUAUUUUCCUUUGUAAUGAGUGAACAUUAUUGCGUUUGUAUUUGCAAUUGGCUAAGCAUUAAGCAAUAUGCUGCUGUAGCCAAAAUGAGUUUGUUCGUCAGUUGGGGACAUGUUUUUAAUUUGGUAAGUUUUAGUUUUUUACCCCUUCCAAUGUUUGUUUGUUUGUAGAAAUGACAAAAAAGAGAAAAAGCUUACAUUUGUACUACAGGUUUGAAACAUUUGGACGUUUUCUAUAGCAAGAGAUGUGAUAUCCCUGCAAUUUACAAUUUGAGCAAAUAAACCUUCUCUUAAA